GGAUAUUUGAAAACAGAUCGAAUUACACGGUUAAGUCAAUGAAAAAAAGGAGCUGGGGCCUUUGGUCUGCAUCAUCAUCAUCAUCAGCAUCAGCUCCCGUUUCAGCACAGCAUAGUAGUAGUUUGGUGGAAUGCAGCUGCCGGAAAAGCCUAAACUUAUCUGCUUUUAAAAUCGGUUUCUCUUAGUUAUUGAGUACAAAGAGGAAGAGUAAAGAUGCGGUUCUCUUAGAUGAAUUUUGCUGAUAUAUAUAUAUAGAGAGAGAGA
rnacentral:misc_RNA from 1 species